rnacentral:rRNA from 1 species
AUGAACGCUGGCGGCGUGCCUAAUACAUGCCAGUCGAGCGAACGGACGAGAAGCUUGCUUCUCUGAUGUUAGCGGCGGCCGGGUGAGUAACACGUGGAUAACCUACCUAUAAGACUGGGAUAACUUCGGGAAACCGGAGCUAAUACCGGAUGAUAUUUUGAACCGCAUGGUUCAAAAGUGAAAGACGGUCUUGCUGUCACUUAUAGAUGGAUCCGCGCUGCAUUAGCUAGUUGGUAAGGUAACGGCUUACCAAGGCAACGAUGCAUAGCCGACCUGAGAGGGUGAUCGGCCACACUGGAACUGAGACACGGUCCAGACUCCUACGGGAGGCAGCAGUAGGGAAUCUUCCGCAAUGGGCGAAAGCCUGACGGAGCAACGCCGCGUGAGUGAUGAAGGUCUUCGGAUCGUAAAACUCUGUUAUUAGGGAAGAACAUAUGUGUAAGUAACUGUGCACAUCUUGACGGUACCUAAUCAGAAAGCCACGGCUAACUACGUG